rnacentral:rRNA from 1 species
UCCUUCCGGGGGGGNGGUGCAGUAGGGAAUCUUCCGCAAUGGGCGAAAGCCUGACGGAGCAACGCCGCGUGAGUGAUGAAGGUUUUCGGAUCGUAAAGCUCUGUUGCCAGGGAAGAACGUCCGGUAGAGUAACUGCUACCGGAGUGACGGUACCUGAGAAGAAAGCCCCGGCUAACUACGUGCCAGCAGCCGCGGUAAUACGUAGGGGGCAAGCGUUGUCCGGAAUUAUUGGGCGUAAAGCGCGCGCAGGCGGCUAUUUAAGUCUGGUGUUUAAACCUUGGGCUCAACCUGAGGUCGCACUGGAAACUGGGUGGCUUGAGUACAGAAGAGGAAAGUGGAAUUCCACGUGUAGCGGUGAAAUGCGUAGAGAUGUGGAGGAACACCAGUGGCGAAGGCGACUUUCUGGGCUGUAACUGACGCUGAGGCGCGAAAGCGUGGGGAGCAAACAGGAUUANNCCCNCNCGGGKWRCCAA